rnacentral:rRNA from 1 species
CGCUGAAAGCAUCUAAGCGCGAAGCCAACUUCAAGAUAAGAUUUCCCACCGCAAGGGUAAGACCCCAGAAAGACUAUCUGGUUGAUAGGUCGAAGGUGUAAGUGCAGCAAUGUAUUUAGCUUAUCGAUACUAAUAGGUCGAGGACUUGACCAA